UACGUAGGGACCAAGCGUUGUUCGGAUUUACUGGGCGUAAAGCGCGCGUAGGCGGCUUUGUAAGUUAGAGGUGAAAGCCCGGAGCUCAACUCCGGAACUGCCUUUAAGACUGCAUCGCUAGAACGAUGGAGAGGUGAGUGGAAUUCCGAGUGUAGAGGUGAAAUUCGUAGAUAUUCGGAAGAACACCAGUGGCGAAGGCGACUCACUGGACAUCUGUUGACGCUGAGGUGCGAAAGCGUGGGGAGCAAACAGG
rnacentral:rRNA from 1 species